UACAGAGGUGGCAAGCGUUGUUCGGAAUUACUGGGCGUAAAGGGCGAGUAGGCGGCCUUCUAAGUCAGACGUGAAAUCCCCCGGCUUAACCUGGGAACUGCGUCUGAUACUGGGAGGCUAGAGUAUGGGAGAGGGAUGUGGAAUUCCAGGUGUAGCGGUGAAAUGCGUAGAUAUCUGGAGGAACACCGGUGGCGAAGGCGGCAUCCUGGACCAUUAUUGACGCUGAUACGCGAAAGCUAGGGGAGCAAACGGG
rnacentral:rRNA from 1 species